UCCAAAUGAGGAAGUCCAUUUUCGUCACCCUCUUCGUCUAGAUCCAUCUGAUCAAUCUCAACAAAAUAAGCAAUAGACUGGCCAAAUGGAAGUAUAAGAGGACUGUCAAGCUGACGUCCAAAAAGUUCAAUGUAGGGAGACAACAUGAUUUUUCGCAGUAUAUUUGUCUUGGUAUCAAAGCACAUGACUAACUGAUUUAACUCGUCGGAACCAAACCCUACCCAAACAGUACCAUUGACAAACACCGCCGUAUCACUUGACACUCGACCAACAAAAACCUUAUCUUGGC
rnacentral:lncRNA from 1 species